CUACGGGAGGCAGCAGUGGGGAAUCUUGCGCAAUGGGCGAAAGCCUGACGCAGCAACGCCGCGUGUGUGAUGAAGGUCUUCGGAUCGUAAAGCACUGUCGCGAGGGACGAAUAAGGGUCGGGCUAACAUCCCGGUCCGAUGACGGUACCUCGAGAGGAAGCACCGGCUAACUCUGUGCCAGCAGCCGCGGUAAUACAGAGGGUGCGAGCGUUGUUCGGAAUUAUUGGGCGUAAAGCGCGUGUAGGCGGCCUAGCAAGUCGGGUGUGAAAGCCCUCGGCUUAACCGAGGAAGUGCGCCCGAAACUAUUAGGCUUGAGUACCGGAGAGGGUGGCGGAAUUCCCGGUGUAGAGGUGAAAUUCGUAGAUAUCGGGAGGAACACCAGCGGCGAAGGCGGCCACCUGGACGGAUACUGACGCUGAGACGCGAAAGCGUGGGGAGCAAACAGGAUUAGAUACCCCGGUAGC
rnacentral:rRNA from 1 species